rnacentral:rRNA from 1 species
AGUGGGGGACAACGUUUCGAAAGGAACGCUAAUACCGCAUACGUCCUACGGGAGAAAGCAGGGGACCUUCGGGCCUUGCGCUAUCAGAUGAGCCUAGGUCGGAUUAGCUAGUUGGUGGGGUAAUGGCUCACCAAGGCGACGAUCCGUAACUGGUCUGAGAGGAUGAUCAGUCACACUGGAACUGAGACACGGUCCAGACUCCUACGGGAGGCAGCAGUGGGGAAUAUUGGACAAUGGGCGAAAGCCUGAUCCAGCCAUGCCGCGUGUGUGAAGAAGGUCUUCGGAUUGUAAAGCACUUUAAGUUGGGAGGAAGGGCAGUAAGCGAAUACCUUGCUGUUUUGACGUUACCGACAGAAUAAGCACCGGCUAACUCUGUGCCAGCAGCCGCGGUAAUACAGAGGGUGCAAGCGUUAAUCGGAAUUACUGGGCGUAAAGCGCGCGUAGGUGGUUUGUUAAGUUGGAUGUGAAAGCCCCGGGCUCAACCUGGGAACUGCAUCCAAAACUGGCAAGCUAGAGUACGGUAGAGGGUGGUGGAAUUUCCUGUGUAGCGGUGAAAUGCGUAGAUAUAGGAAGGAACACCAGUGGCGAAG